rnacentral:rRNA from 1 species
UACGAAGGGGGCUAGCGUUGCUCGGAAUCACUGGGCGUAAAGCGCACGUAGGCGGCUUUCUAAGUCGGGGGUGAAAUCCUGGAGCUCAACUCCAGAACUGCCUUCGAUACUGGAGAGCUCGAGUCCGGGAGAGGUGAGUGGAACUGCGAGUGUAGAGGUGAAAUUCGUAGAUAUUCGGAAGAACACCAGUGGCGAAGGCGGCUCACUGGACCGUUGUUGACGCUGAGGUGCGAAAGCGUGGGGAGCAAACAGG